rnacentral:rRNA from 1 species
AAGAUUAGCCUGCGUCCGAUUAGCUAGUUGGUGGGGUAAGGGCCUACCAAGGCGACGAUCGGUAGCUGGUCUGAGAGGAUGACCAGCCACACUGGAACUGAGACACGGUCCAGACUCCUACGGGAGGCAGCAGUGGGGAAUAUUGGACAAUGGGGGCAACCCUGAUCCAGCAAUGCCGCGUGUGUGAAGAAGGCCUGAGGGUUGUAAAGCACUUUCAGUGGGGAGGAGGGUUGAUAGGUUAAGAGCUGAUUAACUGGACGUUACCCACAGAAGAAGCACCGGCUAACUCCGUGCCAGCAGCCGCGGUAAUACGGAGGGUGCGAGCGUUAAUCGGAAUUACUGGGCGUAAAGGGUGCGUAGGUGGUUGAUUAAGUUAUCUGUGAAAUUCCUGGGCUUAACCUGGGACGGUCAGAUAAUACUGGUUGACUCGAGUAUGGGAGAGGGUAGUGGAAUUUCCGGUGUAGCGGUGAAAUGCGUAGAGAUCGGAAGGAACACCAGUGGCGAAGGCGGCUACCUGGCCUAAUACUGACACUGAGGCACGAAAGCGUGGGGAGCAAACAGGAUUAGAUACCCUGGUAGUCCACGCUGUAAACGAUGUCAACUAGCUGUUGGUCUUAUGAAUGAGAUUAGUGGCGCAGCAAACGCGAUAAGUUGAC